GUGUGUGUGUGUGUAUAGGUGAUUUAGUGUUUGUAGAGAGUGUGUGUUCAGGGAAUGUAGUAUGUGUUUGCUUACAAGGAAUCUAGUGUGCAUAUAGGGGAUCCAGAGUGUGUGUGUGUAUAUGAUCCAGAGUUGGCUAAAGGAUCUAGUGUGUGUCUGGAAUGUAAUGUGUUUAGGGGUGCAGUGUAUGUGUGAGGGGUGUUGUGU